GGCCUCAUGAAAAAAAAAGAAAAAAAAGAAAAAAAAAAAGAGAAUAUAAGUUAGGGCAAGUUUGUCAGACGACACAAUCUGCUUCGACACUCCGCAGGACGCAGCCUCCGCUAUCUCCUCAGGCUCAGGUGACACCGUGAUAAGGAUCCGCCCUUGCAUACACCCGACGACAUAGUAGCAGCAACACUAAUUGGAAAAUCGAACCCACCGAUCCGGUGAGAAACAUGCCUCCUUAGUCAUCAGGUUACUUUUCUGAAAGAAGAGAGUUGCUGGGAAUGGGUGGAGUAGGCAAAAAAAUAUAGGGUCGUCGCCGAGUGGUGUCGAAUAUGGAAGAACUUCUCUAACCAACAGUAUAUCACCCACUGAUAUUUUCCGUGACAUCUGUAAUGGUUUGAAGCUUCUGUUUAACGGACGUUGCCAAGGAGACCUUCUCGAAUGUGCGUCGUCACACGAGUAGAGAAAGGAGAAGGAUGAGAGUAUGGGAAGAUACUAAUGGCCACACAAGGGUUUGAUCGUAGAAAUAUUACUCCUGCUCAGGUGGUUGAACUAGCUAUUAAUAUCCUUAUGGUGGGAGUGAUAGGUCGGGAUUUAUUUUUGUUUCUCAACCGACUGAAUUGGUAGCUUUCACUGACUCAGCGAACAACACUACCUCAAAUACAAAUGGGUUCUUGAUGACCUUUAUUUUUGGGAUGAUGAAGAUAGAUCAUAGAAGUUGUUUCAUGAGGUAAGUCUGGCACCUACACCAACUUGAUGAAACUUCCUUUAAAGCUAUAAGAGACCUUUUACGUACCCCAAUAUUUCCAUCCCACAUAUCUGGACGGGUGGAAAAAUCUGCUAAAACAAAACACAACAUUAAUAUACUGAUGCAGGACAGUUGGUUGAAGGUUUUGGAACUCGUUUGAACCGUCAAAAGGUCCAAAGGGUGGGCUGCUUAGUUUUUAUCGGAUGAUUUUGAGGAAUCUUUUUUUUUAACUCGGAAAGAGUCCAGUUUUAUCAGAAACUGCCCAACUCGCAGAUAUCGGCAGCGUAGAGUGUCGUUUGGCAUAAUUCAAUCAUUUAAGGCUUGGUAAUGGCGUUUUUUUCCAAUUUUGAAUAUUUUAGGAUUUUCUAGAAGACUGUAAUUAAGUUUCUUUCCUUAUUUUUACAAAAUAUUUAGAGCAAGUUUGUUUUUGAGCAGUUUCUUUGCAUUGCUAAUUUCCUUAUGUUUUUAAGAUUUUCUUUAUGCUGUUACGAUUUUUAUUUAUAAAUACAUGUACCGUAGAGCAGAUCAUUCAUUUAACUAUUAAUAUAUUAUCAGAUUCCUUUGCGAAUUCGUUCAUUUGUGAACAAUCUAUCGGUUCCGCUUACGUCAUAUACAAAAAUGGCUAUGAGCACUACAACAAGGGUGCCAACAAGAAAGAAAAUGAAUUAAAAAGUAUUUUUUUUUUUAACAAAUUUAAUAGUGUGUAUAUAUAUAUAUAUAUAUAUAUAUAGAUGUAUAUAUGUAUAGUAUUUUUUUUAAACUUAAUUAUUGGCAAGUCAGUGAUGUGGCUUAUAGCAAGAAAAUGAAUAAACUCUAAAAUUCUCUUGUGCUGAGCUAAGAGACGUUUUGACUUCUUACUUGUGGGAUAGAGGUAUUGGGGUGUAUGGUCAAAAGCUCGGCGGUUUUAAUGUAUACAGGCUAUGAAGCACCGACACCCCUCCCAGGUCUUGUACCAAUGUCGGAUGCAUGUCCGAGGCUCGGACACGUGUCCGACACUUCUGUGAAGUGUCCAGAAAUUAUUUUUUAUUGGAUACGGGGUGGACACGGCUGGGACACGCAGAGGACACGUACCAGAUACGACGAGAUACCAGCAACUCUUUAAGAGUGGAAACUGAAACACACACACCCCCCAUGGUGGGGAGGAAGUGGGAGGAGGCGGCGGCAAUGGUGGGGCGGAGGUGGCACCGUGUAAGGUGAGGGAGGGAAGAACUAUUAUGCUAUUAAGGUUCUGAAUAGCUCAAAGGAUUACUAAUCGUGAUAUUUUGUACAAAACUUUUGUCUGGUCUGCAUUAGAUCCGCCCUUGCAUACACCCGACGACAUAGCAGCGGCAACACUAAUCAGAAAAUCGAACCCACUGACCGGGAGAGAAACAUGCCUCCUCAGUCGUCAAGUUACUUUUAUGAAAGAAGAGAGUUGAUGGGAAUGGGUGGAGUAGGGAAAAAAAUAUAGGUGAAGGAGGGAAAAACUGUUAUGCUAUUAAGUUUCUGAAUAGCUCGAAGGACUACUAGCCGUGAUAUUUUGUACAAAACUUUUGUCUGGUCUGCAUUAGUAAGCUCCGUCAACUCUUCUAUCACAUUGUUGAUUAGACUAAUUUUGUAAUACUAACAUAUACUGCACUAAUUUUGUAAUACUAACUUAUACUGCUCUAGUGAUUGGUCAUGAAUCUGGUCCAUGUAUUUUGUAGUACACAAAUACACACAUAUAUUGCACUGCAUGUGUCACGCCCCAAAAUCUUAAAUACAUGAACUCCUGUCUUGUAUUAAAGUCUGGCAUAACUUUCAUUAUAGAACCACAACAUUACAAAAAAAAAAAUAAAUCAAAUAAAGAGGUAGAUUCAACCACCCUCUAAUUAUUAAAUUGAUACAACCAUAGUAUUAAACAACCUUGUCAAAAAUAAUCCACGAUAAUUGGACCUAAAUGAACUAACUCAAAAGAAAAUAUCGCCAUUCUUAUUACAAUGCGAAAAUUAACUAAACCAAAAAAAUACAUAAAGCUGGCCAAAAUCCAUCAUCAUCAUGUGAUUUCAUCACGUUCCUACUCAACGUGUACCUGAAAUGUGAUAAUAGGGUGAGCUCACAAGCUCAGCAAUAAAUGCUAAACACAAUCAUCGUUCAGCAAAUUAACCUCACAUUGUAUUCUUAUAUAUAUAAGCAGCUCAAAUAAGUGCAUUAAUCAGAUAUGUAAAUCCCACUUAAUUAUAAACCCAAUAAAUAUCUAUUAUUUAUUAUUUAAUAAAUCCACAUAUCUCGCAUGAGCCCCUGGCUCCCGUUCAAUAAAGUGGUGUGAAUCGUAUAGUCCCUGACUACCAAAAACACACGUGUGGCUGGAUUGUACGUCUACUCCCAGAUGAUCCCUGAUCACGUUCACACAAUAAGGGCUCAUUAGACCCAUGGCCAUAACAAAAGGGUAGUGCACUCCCAAAUAGGUAGGUCCCUGACCAUACCCAAAAGUCAUCACUAAGUCAGUCCUGGACUACUCCUCCGACUAAUCCAAUCAUAUCCCAUGCUUAUAUAUUACACUGAAAAUAUAUAAUGAUAUGUUUAUAUAUACAUUAAACAAUUAAAAAAAAAAAAAUUCCACCACAUGAUUUGAGAAGCUAGAAAUAUACCAUAAUUUAUAAUAUUAUUUAACUACUACUUUGCACAAUUCCUAAUAUUUUAAAAUAACUAUUGAACCUUAUUUUACACUAUUUCCAGUAACUCAACCAAAGCCUAACAAUAGCUUGCUCGUGGGUUUGCUUGCACAUACUGGCCCAUUUCAUUCUCAAGACUGAAUUCAUUUUCUUAAGUCUCUAACCAAUAACCAAUCAUCCUCUCAAACUUUACAAGAAGACAAAACCAAUUCUAGUCAACCCACAGUUUGUACUAUAGCUAUCAAUUAUGACUCAUGAACCAUCUAACACAUAAAGAGAAAAUCAAUUCUUACAAGUUGUACAACAACCACUAAUAGAACUUCAGCUACUCCAUGACUAUUAUAUUAUAAGUUCUGGAACUCUUACCAGACCAAUUUGUUUACAUCUCAUGACAUGCGGCUAACCCAUGGUACAUUAAUUAUUUAGAAAAAAAAAUGAAUCUUAUGCUCCAAAUUGUGCCCUUGUUCACGAAUAAAACUAUUGUCCUUUGUCCGAUCACCACACUGUAUCAUAUUUGUCCACAACUGUGGUUGCUUUAUCCAUACAUGACUGUCAGGAAAAC